rnacentral:snoRNA from 1 species
AUGCCUUGAUGAAACUCUGUGUACAAAGUUAGCAGAGCACCACCUAUGGUGAUCGCAACCCUCUAAGAAGUUAUGACAU